rnacentral:rRNA from 1 species
AUGAACGCUGGCGGCGUGCCUAAUACAUGCAAGUCGAGCGAACAGACGAGGAGCUUGCUCCUCUGACGUUAGCGGCGGACGGGUGAGUAACACGUGGAUAACCUACCUAUAAGACUGGAAUAACUUCGGGAAACCGGAGCUAAUACCGGAUAAUAUAUUGAACCGCAUGGUUCAAUAGUGAAAGACGGUUUUGCUGUCACUUAUAGAUGGAUCCGCGCCGCAUUAGCUAGUUGGUAAGGUAACGGCUUACCAAGGCGACGAUGCGUAGCCGACCUGAGAGGGUGAUCGGCCACACUGGAACUGAGACACGGUCCAGACUCCUACGGGAGGCAGCAGUAGGGAAUCUUCCGCAAUGGGCGAAAGCCUGACGGAGCAACGCCGCGUGAGUGAUGAAGGUCUUCGGAUCGUAAAACUCUGUUAUUAGGGAAGAACAAAUGUGUAAGUAACUAUGCACGUCUUGACGGUACCUAAUCAGAAAGCCACGGCUAACUACGUG